rnacentral:sRNA from 1 species
UACGGCCAAAUGCUCAGAGCCAUCAGUGUCCCUUUUGUAACUGAGUGUGAUUUGAGUGUUUCAGAAGUCAGAAGGCACAAGGUGGCUGUGGCUAACAGCAGGUCCUCCCCUGGCGCAUGGCUCUGGCUGCCAGUGUUAUUGAUUAGCCCACACUAACACUUCUGGAUGACUGCUAAGUCUCUGCUACAAAGCUAUGGAAAUAGUUUCUCAGCUCUAAUUUUCUUUUAUGGCCCUACCUUUCUUCUCAAGAUGUUUUUCUUCAGGGCCAGGAUGGCUAUUUGUAGUUUGUUUGUAUUUGGGUGAAAAGUCCUCCCUUAGAUUUUCUUUCAGAUACCUCUGGAGCAAAAGUAAAUGAUCGGGGCCUUUGGGUUGACCUCGAUAAGAAGAUAAAAGUAGCAUUCCCAAACCUGUCUGACCGUGGGUAACCAUUAACUGUCAAGCAGGAGAGGAAUUUCCCACGACCUCAGACUAUCACAGAAAUGGAGGCGCUAGGAGGAGUGCUGCCUUGCAGGAAUGACUCCAAACAGCAACAAAUGUUAUCAAGAGGGAGAGAUUGCAGCAACCCAGGCCUGUGUCAGCUGGAGACACAGCUUGUGUCCGAGGUCAACAAGAACAACUGGAGGCCAGGGAGGAGCCAGGAAGCUUUUCUGGCCCAGAAAAUUGAGAAGCAGGGUAUAAAGAUCAUAAGGAGGGCUUCCCUGUUUGUUUCUGUGUUGGUGAGACCCCACCAUGACAUCUCUCAAGUCGAACAGCCACCACUUUAAGAGAAACAUGGAGGCUUCAAAGCAAAACAAGAAUCACAAAGAUGAAGGUGGUGUUUUUGUUUUGUUCUGAAAAAGAUUAGACGAUGGAAUUACAGAAAGGAUGAUAAUAGAGAAAUGGCCAACAGCACACAGAACGUCAACCACAAACCAAGAUGAAUCCGACUUAACCUGCAUCGUGAAGUCCUGCCACCGGCAGACGUCAGGUUUAUUAAUCAUUAAAAUGAGUUGCCUGUGAGGACGUCCAAUUUCCUGUUCUGAAAGUAUAAUUUAUUACUACAGAAAUAUGCUUCCGGGUUUGUGAAUAUUGACAACAAGCAUCGCAGGGUUUUUCUUUUCUUUUUUCAUUUAUUUUUAUUUAUCUAUGUGUGUGAACUCUGGGUGAGUGUGUGCUACAUGUGUGUAUGCCCAGGAAAGUCAGAUUAGUGCCUCAGAUCAUAUGGAACUGGAGUUAGAGGUGCUAAGGGCAGAACACAGGUCCUCUGGGAGAGCGAUAAGCACUCUUAGCUACUGAGUCAUCUUGCUAAGCACUAGGGCAAAGUUUUAAGAUGUUAGAGACUAAGUUAUCCACAGCCGAGAAAAGUGAGGAAUUCAUCUUACUCCAAAAUGCAAAGCAAAGGACUUUGAGGUAAGGCCGAUGACUGGCUAGGCAAGAUUAGAAUGUUACUUUUCCGUGCACAGGGAAAGAGGGAUGUGCUAUGUUUAUAACUGGGAACUCUCCGCUGUGUUUAUAUUCUUGUCUGUGUGCUUACAGUAUCUCUUCAAGGGCAGAAGCAAUCUGGAAAGAAAGAGUAACAAUGUUGAAUCAAAAACAAAGUUGUCUCUUAACUAGCUCAUGGAACAGGCAGGAAGAAGCCCAACAGCUGAGAAAUGAGCCUCCCGAAUUUUCAAACCGAUGCUCACCUAGAGGAGUAAGUUCAUUUAAAGACAUUUGAAAUCGAGGUUUCAUCAUAGACUUGUGACCACGAACUACGUCCUUCAAAACUGUGAGCCAAGUUUCUUCUGGGAUGCUGUUUUCUUCUCUGCAACCUCCUCUUCUGACUUCAGGACAUUUGUGAAUACAGUGAAGAUCACCUCAGUGCGACAGGGGGCCUCACAUACAGACUAACCCAGCCAUGAGCUUUGUCCUGUUACUGCAAGAUCAGACUGUUAGAUGAGAAAAAUGGAAUGUAGUUCUGUUUUCCCAGUUGAGAGUAGAGAACUGACAAAAUUUAUGAAUGAACACUGCACACUAAAGUAAGUUUCAAGACUGUAAUUAACCAGAAAUAUAUGAAUUAAUGUGGAGAUUAGGAUUGUCCUUAGAUGGCUGAGGUACAAAUUCUGUCUUACUCAGUCCAUUUUCUAUUGUUAUAGCUAAGUACUUGGGACUCAGUGACUGGUAAUGAACACAAGUUUAUUUAACUUGUAAAAGCACAAAAGUCCAUGGGUAUAAUCCUUUUAAGGAAUGAUAUGACAGAGGGCAUCUGGUGAGUCUGAGAAACAU